rnacentral:rRNA from 1 species
CUUCCAGGAAAAGCCUCUAAGCUUCAGAUAGUCAGGAAUCGUACCCCAAACCGACACAGGUGGUCGGGUAGAGAAUACCAAGGCGCUUGAGAGAACUCGGGUGAAGGAACUAGGCAAAAUGGUACCGUAACUUCGGGAGAAGGUACGCUCUUGAUGGUGAAGUCCCUCGCGGAUGGAGCUGACGAGAGUCGCAGAUACCAGGUGGCUGCAACUGUUUAUUAAAAACACAGCACUGUGCAAAAUCGCAAGAUGACGUAUACGGUGUGACGCCUGCCCGGUGCCGGAAGGUUAAUUGAUGGGGUUAGCGCAAGCGAAGCUCUUGAUCGAAGCCCCGGUAAACGGCGGCCGUAACUAUAACGGUCCUAAGGUAGCGAAAUUCCUUGUCGGGUAAGUUCCGACCUGCACGAAUGGCGUAAUGAUGGCCACGCUGUCUCCACCCGAGACUCAGUGAAAUUGAAAUCGCUGUGAAGAUGCAGUGUACCCGCGGCUAGACGGAAAGACCCCGUGAACCUUUACUACAGCUUGGCACUGAACAUUGAACCUACAUGUGUAGGAUAGGUGGGAGGCUAUGAAGACGUGACGCCAGUUGCGUUGGAGCCGUCCUUGAAAUACCACCCUUGUAUGUUUGAUGUUCUAACGUUGGCCCCUAAUCGGGGUUGCGGACAGUGCCUGGUGGGUAGUUUGACUGGGGCGGUCUCCUCCCAAAGAGUAACGGAGGAGCACGAAGGUGGGCUAAUCACGGUUGGACAUCGUGAGGUUAGUGCAAUGGCAUAAGCCCGCUUAACUGCGAGAAUGACGGUUCGAGCAGGUGCGAAAGCAGGUCAUAGUGAUCCGGUGGUUCUGUAUGGAAGGGCCAUCGCUCAACGGAUAAAAGGUACUCCGGGGAUAACAGGCUGAUACCGCCCAAGAGUUCAUAUCGACGGCGGUGUUUGGCACCUCGAUGUCGGCUCAUCACAUCCUGGGGCUGAAGUCGGUCCCAAGGGUAUGGCUGUUCGCCAUUUAAAGUGGUACGCGAGCUGGGUUUAGAACGUCGUGAGACAGUUCGGUCCCUAUCUGCCGUGGGCGUUGGAAGAUUGAAGGGGGCUGCUCCUAGUACGAGAGGACCGGAGUGGACGAACCUCUGGUGUUCGGGUUGUGUCGCCAGACGCAUUGCCCGGUAGCUAAGUUCGGAAUUGAUAAGCGCUGAAAGCAUCUAAGCGCGAAGCGAGCCCUGAGAUGAGUCUUCCCUGAUACUUU